GACGUAGGGCGCGAGCGUUGUCCGGAUUUAUUGGGCGUAAAGAGCUCGUAGGCGGCUUGUCGCGUCGAAUGUGAAAACUCGGGGCUCAACCCCGCGCUUGCAUUCGAUACGGGCAGGCUCGAGUUCGGUAGGGGAGACUGGAAUUCCUGGUGUAGCGGUGAAAUGCGCAGAUAUCAAGGAGGAACACCGGUGGCGAAGGCGGGUCUCUGGGCCGAUACUGACGCUGAGGAGCGAAAGCGUGGGGAGC
rnacentral:rRNA from 1 species